rnacentral:rRNA from 1 species
ACGCUGGCGGCAUGCUUUACACAUGCAAGUCGAACGGCAGCACGAAAGAGCUUGCUUCUUGGGUGGCGAGUGGCGAACGGGUGAGUAAUGCAUCGGAACGUACCGAGUAAUGGGGGAUAACUAUCCGAAAGGAUAGCUAAUACCGCAUACGCUUUGAGAAGGAAAGUGGGGGCUCUUCGGACCUCACGUUAUUCGAGCGGCCGAUGUCUGAUUAGCUAGUUGGUGGGGUAGAGGCCUACCAAGGCGACGAUCAGUAGCGGGUCUGAGAGGAUGAUCCGCCACACUGGGACUGAGACACGGCCCAGACUCCUACGGGAGGCAGCAGUGGGGAAUUUUGGACAAUGGGCGCAAGCCUGAUCCAGCCAUGCCGCGUGUCUGAAGAAGGCCUUCGGGUUGUAAAGGACUUUUGUUAGGGAAGAAAAGGAUAGUGUUAAUACCAUUAUCUGCUGACGGUACCUAAAGAAUAAGCACCGGCUAACUACGUGCCAGCAGCCGCGGUAAUACGUAGGGUGCGAGCGUUAAUCGGAAUUACUGGGCGUAAAGCGAGCGCAGACGGUUUAUUAAGCAAGAUGUGAAAUCCCCGAGCUUAACUUGGGAACUGCGUUUUGAACUGGUAAGCUAGAGUAUGUCAGAGGGGGGUAGAAUUCCACGUGUAGCAGUGAAAUGCGUAGAGAUGUGGAGGAAUACCGAUGGCGAAGGCAGCCUCCUGGGAUAACACUGACGUUCAUGCUCGAAAGCGUGGGUAGCAAACAGGAUUAGAUACCCUGGUAGUCCACGCCCUAAACGAUGUCAAUUAGCUGUUGGGCAACUUGAUUGCUUAGUAGCGAAGCUAACGCGUGAAAUUGACCGCCUGGGGAGUACGGUCGCAAGAUUAAAACUCAAAGGAAUUGACGGGGACCCGCACAAGCGGUGGAUGAUGU